ACAAUACAUGCAAGUCGUGCGAGGCUCUUUCGGAGUCGAGCGGCGGACGGGUGAGUAACACGUGGGGCAAUCUGCCCGACAGACCGGGAUAACGCUUGGAAACGAGUGCUAAUACCGGAUAGGCUCUUGCUUCGCAUGAAGCGAGAGGGAAAGCUGCUUUUGCAGCACUGUCGGAUGAGCCCGCGGCGCAUUAGCUAGUUGGUGAGGUAACGGCUCACCAAGGCGACGAUGCGUAGCCGANCUGAGAGGGUGACCGGCCACACUGGGACUGAGACACGGCCCAGACUCCUACGGGAGGCAGCAGUAGGGAAUCUUCCGCAAUGGGCGCAAGCCUUGACGGAGCAACGCCGCGUGAGUGAUGAAGGCCUUCGGGUUGUUAAAACUCUGUCUUCUGUGAAGAACAAGCCUAUGAAGAGAACGCUUUAGCCCCUGACCGUAACAGAGGAGGAAAGCCCCGGUCUAAACUACGUGCCAGCACCCGCGGUUAUUACGUAGGGGGCAAAGCGUUUGUCCGGAAUCAUUUGGCCGUAAAGCCGCGCCGCAGAGGUGCCCAUUUUGCCUUCCGGGGGGAAAAGCCCCCAAAGCUCCAACUUCUGGGAAUUUGCCUUUGGAAUACGGGAAUGGCUUGCAGGUAUCUGGAAGGAAGCAAGGGGAAUUCCACCGUUGUUAGGCGGGUGGAAAAUGCCGUAGAUGUUGGAAGUGAAACCACCCUUUUGGUCGAAGGCCCCUUGCUGGCCGAAUUUCUGACCCUUAGGCCGCUAAAACCUUGGGUGGAAGCCACAAACGGAUUAGAUACCCGGAGUUCCCCCGUUAAAACGAAAGUCUUAGGUGUGGGGGGUACCACCCCUCCAGGUCCGGAAACCUACGCAUAAGCAAUCCGCCCUGGGGAGUACGGCCGCAAGACUGAAAACCAAAGGAAUUCGUCGGGGGCCCGCACAAGCAUGGAGCAUGUGGUUUAAUUCGAAGCAACGCGAAGAACCCUUGCCAGGACUUGACAUCCCGCUGACCGGUUCAGAGAUGAACCUUCCCUUCGGGGCAGCGGUGACAGGUGGUGCAUGGUUGUCGUCAGUUCGUGUCGUGAGAUGUUGGGUUAAGUCCCGCAACGAGCGCAACCCUUGGAUUGUGUUGCCAUCAUUCAGUUGGGCACUUACAAUCGACUGCCGGUGACAAACCGGAGGAAGGCGGGGAUGACGUCAAAUCAUCAUGCCCCUUAUGUCCUGGGCUACACACGUGCUACAAUGGGCGGUACAAAGGGUUGCGAAGCCGCGAGGCGGAGCCAAUCCCAGAAAGCCGUUCGUAGUUCGGAUUGCAGGCUGCAACUCGCCUGCAUGAAGCCGGAAUUGCUAGUAAUCGCGGAUCAGCAUGCCGCGUUGAAUUCGUUCCCGGGCCUUGUACACACCGCCCGUCACACCAUGGGAGUUGGCAACACUCGAAGUCGGCGAGG
rnacentral:rRNA from 2 species